rnacentral:lncRNA from 1 species
CCACAGCUGAGCCGUGUGAAGAGGCUGACAGCGGCGUGGCCACCACCCAGGAUGGAGAGAAAGGCACUGUGAGGUGUUAAUGGAAAAAUCCAACUUCCUUUUCUUCCAAAGAUGAUGACUGAAACCAAAGUGGAGCUUUCCCUGAAACUUUCUGAGAUGCAAGUGGGUGUUAAAUGGUUCAGCAAAGCCAAGCCAGAGCAGUUGGUGUGCUUUGAAAUGAAGCAACAUUGGAAAAAUGAAAUCUACUGAAAGAUCACUACGUGUUUCAAAGGGACCGAAUAAAGCAAACUCCUUUGGCUGCCUCAAAUACUGGCCAGGCCUUCAGACUCAGACUGGAACUGCACCGUUGGCUCUCCUGGGUGGGUCUCCAGCUUGCUGACCACAGACCUUGAGACUUCUCAGCCUUUAGAAUCAUGGAAGCCAAUUCCUUAUAAUAAUAUAUAUCCUUUUCCUAGUCUGUGGACUUUUCCCAGCUCCAGACAGACAACCUUCUAUAAACUCCAGGAUGCUCCAUCAAUGCCGUCUGGACUCUACAGAUUUUGACCCUGAAGUAAAGUAGGAAAGGCUAUGAGGACAUGUUAAAUGUUGUACUACCGCCUGAAGCCUUUUCUUCUUUAAAUUUUUCAACAAGAGUUGAAUGCACACGUGGAGCUUAAUUGGACAACAACUUUUCUCCUCUUCUGUGGGAUCCCGUCAGUGCUUUAAGCAAUGAGAAGGCAGCUCAUUUCCAAGUUUGUGUGGUAAAUUUGGGGCAAGUGGGAGAAAAGAAAGAAAGGCUGAGUCUUAUAGGGUGUGAUUUGGUUCUAGACAUGCUUAUGUUACUUUUUAUAAGAUUAUCCAUUUGACUAGAUUUCUUUCCUGCUGACAAAAGAGGCAAUUUCUACAUAUAAAAUAAA